UAGAAUGCAGAGUUUUUUUUAUCUUACUUACAAUAAGGUUUUGUCUGGUUAAGUUCAGUCAGUUCUGA
rnacentral:tRNA from 1 species